UUGCAUGCGGCGUGCUAUACAUGCAGUCGAGCGGACAGAAGGGAGCUUGCUCCCGGAUGUUAGCGGCGGACGGGUGAGUAACACGUGGGUAACCUGCCUGUAAGACUGGGAUAACUCCGGGAAACCGGAGCUAAUACCGGAUAGUUCCUUGAACCGCAUGGUUCAAGGAUGAAAGACGGUUUCGGCUGUCACUUACAGAUGGACCCGCGGCGCAUUAGCUAGUUGGUGAGGUAACGGCUCACCAAGGCGACGAUGCGUAGCCGACCUGAGAGGGUGAUCGGCCACACUGGGACUGAGACACGGCCCAGACUCCUACGGGAGGCAGCAGUAGGGAAUCUUCCGCAAUGGACGAAAGUCUGACGGAGCAACGCCGCGUGAGUGAUGAAGGUUUUCGGAUCGUAAAGCUCUGUUGUUAGGGAAGAACAAGUGCAAGAGUAACUGCUUGCACCUUGACGGUACCUAACCAGAAAGCCACGGCUAACUACGUGCCAGCAGCCGCGGUAAUACGUAGGUGGCAAGCGUUGUCCGGAAUUAUUGGGCGUAAAGGGCUCGCAGGCGGUUUCUUAAGUCUGAUGUGAAAGCCCCCGGCUCAACCGGGGAGGGUCAUUGGAAACUGGGAAACUUGAGUGCAGAAGAGGAGAGUGGAAUUCCACGUGUAGCGGUGAAAUGCGUAGAGAUGUGGAGGAACACCAGUGGCGAAGGCGACUCUCUGGUCUGUAACUGACGCUGAGGAGCGAAAGCGUGGGGAGCGAACAGGAUUAGAUACCCUGGUAGUCCACGCCGUAAACGAUGAGUGCUAAGUGUUAGGGGGUUUCCGCCCCUUAGUGCUGCAGCUAACGCAUUAAGCACUCCGCCUGGGGAGUACGGUCGCAAGACUGAAACUCAAAGGAAUUGACGGGGGCCCGCACAAGCGGUGGAGCAUGUGGUUUAAUUCGAAGCAACGCGAAGAACCUUACCAGGUCUUGACAUCCUCUGACAACCCUAGAGAUAGGGCUUUCCCUUCGGGGACAGAGUGACAGGUGGUGCAUGGUUGUCGUCACCUCCUGUCCUGAGAUGUUGGGUUAAGUCCCGCAACGAGCGCAACCCUGAACUUAGUUGCCAGCAUUCAGUUGGGCACUCUAAGGUGACUGCCGGUGACAAACCGGAAGAAGGGGGGGAAGAAGCUAAAUAUUUUUGCCCCCUUUAAACCUGGGCUUCCACCGUGGCUACAUAGGGGAAAAAAAAAAGGGGGGGAAAACCCAAGGGUUUAUACCACCCCCCCAAAUUUGUUUUCUCAUUUGGAAUUUCAAUCUUCGAACUCCCCCCUGGUGAAUGGUGGGAACUUCUCAUAAUCCGCGGAAAC
rnacentral:rRNA from 1 species